rnacentral:rRNA from 1 species
GACGAACGCUGGCGGUGUGCUUAACACAUGCAAGUCGAACGGAAAGGCCCUGCUUUUGUGGGGUGCUCGAGUGGCGAACGGGUGAGUAACACGUGAGUAACCUGCCCUUGACUUUGGGAUAACUUCAGGAAACUGGGGCUAAUGCCGGAUAGGAGCUCCUGCUGCAUGGUGGGGGUUGGAAAGUUUCGGCGGUUGGGGAUGGACUCGCGGCUUAUCAGCUUGUUGGUGGGGUAGUGGCUUACCAAGGCUUUGACGGGUAGCCGGCCUGAGAGGGUGACCGGCCACAUUGGGACUGAGAUACGGCCCAGACUCCUACGGGAGGCAGCAGUGGGGAAUAUUGCACAAUGGGCGGAAGCCUGAUGCAGCAACGCCGCGUGCGGGAUGACGGCCUUCGGGUUGUAAACCGCUUUCGCCUGUGACGAAGCGUGAGUGACGGUAAUGGGUAAAGAAGCACCGGCUAACUACGUG